UCGGAAUUGCUAGUAAUGGCAGGUCAGCAUACUGCCGUGAAUACGUUCCCGGGCCUUGUACACACCGCCCGUCACACCAUGAGAGUUGGAGAUACCCGAAGCCUAUGAGCUAACUUUUAGAGGCAGUAGUCGAAGGUAGAAUCAAUGAUUGGGUGAAGUCGUAACAAGGUAAC
rnacentral:rRNA from 1 species